rnacentral:piRNA from 1 species
UGCAUGCCCUGCUUGUGUGUGUGC